ACUGUAGCCUCUUUACUCUAGAAAAUUUCAAUUUUUCACGGCCAAUAUUCAAUUUAUAACUCAUUUGCUGAUUAUUAAUCUUUAUAGAUGAAGACAUCCCUUGAAGAUUUUGUUUUUCGAAGUUGAAGAGUUGGAGAAGGGGAUUUUCACUUUUUUGCUGCAUCAAAUGCUAAUAAGUGAAAAAUGAGAGCAUUGAAGGGAUAGAACACAUUCGAAUUCAAGAAUGGAGCAGGUGAAAGUGAAGCGGGCCUUGGCCGGUCUGAAAUCGGCCACCGAGGGUUUGGCCAUCUUGGAGGAAAUGGUGGAAGGGCCAUGCCUGCGGGAGGAGCACCCCGUGUUCAACUCGGUGGUGCCUAUUGUGGCCAAGCUCCAGUUGCUCAUGGAGAAAAUGACGGCGGAGCUGAAGGGCGUGGUGGGGAGCAACCCUCCACGCUUACAAGCAUGCUCGACUCAGGCGCGCUACAGACCCCUGCCGUAUGUCAGGGCAAAGGAGAGUGAUCGUCGGGCUCAGGACCUCGCAAACCUGAUCAAGCGAAGUCCUCACGUGUGGAUGGAAUGGGGUGCC